rnacentral:piRNA from 1 species
UAAUGGAUAAAUAAAUUGUGUAUUUCUACA